rnacentral:lncRNA from 1 species
AAUAGAGGUCUUCAGAGGGUGGGGAGACAGUGGAGAAGGUGUGGGGGAGGGGCGCGGGCAGCAAGAGGGUGGGGAGAAAGAUUAGAGACCAAUUGGAGAGGGGAAGUUGGAAACAAACCCUGAUCAACUUAUUCUAAUUGCAUUUGACAGCUCAGGAGAAGUUAGGAGAGAGUUGUAGAUCUUUUCUCCCCCACCAGGCUGACAAGAGCCUCCAGGUCUGUUCCGAGCGCUUUCCUGACACCGGCUCCCGCUCCUCGGACUCACGGCGAAACACAGGCUUUCAUUGUGCUGCGAUAGGAGAGGGAGAGAAAGAGAGAGAGAGAGAGCCCGCAGCCCGCCCCCCUGACGAUAUGAUUUUCCGUUUUCAAUAA